CUCUUUGCCUACACGAAGCUGUCGGUGGUACUAAUUACUACUGAGAAAAAACAACAAGCCAACCCAUUAAGUAUUCAGGGAUAGGGAUGGAAGGUAGACUGC